CCUCCCAGGCAAGAGGGACCAGGGCACGUCAGGAUGUCGCCCCCAAGGCUGGCAGACACAGGAAACGUGUCAUCGUCCCGUGGAGGGAUUCAGAUGCCCGAGGACACCUCUCUUCCCUCCUGGCCCACCCCGUGAGAAAUGGCCACGAUUCACUGGGAAGAGGAGCACCUCCUGAUCUCGGGCAUUUUUGGGGCACCUGCCUGGCUGCCUGGAGGGAGGCCAGCUCCGCCCUCUAAAAGGGUUCAGGAACAACUCCUACUGGCUGGAUACGCUGACAAUUCAGAGUAUGGGGCGUUCUCAGAAAACCAGCUGAGGCUGCAAAGAGAGCAUUCCGUUGCGCAGAGGCCGGCCACUCAUCCGCCUGUCAAGGGAGGCCGCGGAGGGUCUGGGACAACUCCCCCCCUCCCAAGGCACCACUGCCGACUUGCUGCGGACAAUUCACCACGGGGAAAACCCGCUGCGGGUCAAGAGUUACACUAAUAUCGAAGAAAUAGCGGAACAGAAUCAUUAAAGGAAGGAUGACCAAAGAGGGACAACAUAAAAUGUGAAGGACAAAAAUUAAAAUAUCUUUGAAAUCAU